ACCAACAUUUGGAACGCAAAUGCUUAUAGUUUAACAUGGAUCCCAACGAAUUAAUCUCCUUGUUGUCUGAGAAGGUGUUGCUGGAUAUUAGGCAAUUCCCGGGUUUACUGGUGAAGAAUUUAGAAGAAGCUAUUUCGGGCAGAGUUGGGUUUAGGAGAAAACACGAGUUUUUCGAGGAUGGAGAUGUACAUCGCCAUUUGUACCUCCAAGAUGUGUUCACCAGCAUUGCAGAAGUAGAGGCCAAGUCCAGUAUAUCGGAAUUUCCUUGUGAAGAGGCAGACUGUGACCAGCUCUUUGACACUUUGAAGUCUUAUGAACAUCACUACAACACAUUGCAUAGAAAUGUUUGUUCCGUCUGCAAAAUAUCUUUUCCAUCUGUCAGGCUUUUGGACAUUCAUAUUUUUGAGGGGCAUGACUCUCUCUUCCAGAUUAUGGCAGAAAACACCAAUAUGUUCCAGUGUUUGGUGGAGGGAUGUAUGGAGAAAUUCAAAACAAUUGGUGAACGGAGAAAUCAUUUAAUCAAAUCCCACCUCUAUCCAUCUGAUUUCCAAUUUGACAAGCCUGAGAGAAAUAAAAGGAGGAUGGUCCGUGGGAGCAUAGGCGUAUGUAAGCCCGCUUUAUUGGGACCGACUUAAUGAGAAUAAGGUUAAUAGAGUUUUGAUAGCACCUUGACAGCUGUUACGCAAUUUGGACUCUUUGCCUAUGGUGUUCCUGACUCCAGACUUUCGGUGUGAGGAAUCAUGUGACAAGUCAUCUCUGGUGAAAAUGUAAAGUGAUCCCUUUAAGGCGGUGCAAAAAUAGUAAUUUAUGAUGGGAUGUAGAAAUAUCAUACAAGGUUUAUUCUCUUUUAUUAUUAUUUUCCUCUUAAUAUAUACUUUUUUCCUGUGCUUUUGGUAAAUCUCUUUGAGAUUCAGGUGGAGAAAACAGGUCCUUGUUUUCAUUUUGUUAAAUGUGUACCUUUU